rnacentral:rRNA from 1 species
GUCCACGCUGUAAACGAUGGGAACUAGGUGUGGGAGGUGUCGACUCCUCCCGUGCCGUCGCUAACGCAUUAAGUUCCCCGCCUGGGGAGUACGGCCGCAAGGCUAAAACUCAAAGGAAUUGACGGGGGCCCGCACAAGCAGCGGAGCAUGUGGUUUAAUUCGAUGCAACGCGAAGAACCUUACCUGGGCUUGACAUGUAACUGACCGCCCUGGAAACAGGGUUUUCCUUCGGGACAGUUUCACAGGUGGUGCAUGGCUGUCGU